CCAGUGCUUCAUGCAGACGAGACGAUUGUCCAAGCUCCCAAGGAAGUAGCUGACAGCUGAAAUGUGGAAAAUUGAAAGAAUUCGGAAAGUGAAAUCAAUACCAGCAUAAGUUAACAUGUAUGAUUUUAAUUAAAUGUUUUUCAUCCAUAUUUACAAGUUCAUUUUUCAUCAUUUGCCACGUAAUGACGACCAUAUGUUGAAGCUGGCCAGGAAUUUAAGCUGUCAUCAAUCCUGCAGCUAUGCAUGUUUUGUAAAUGGUGAAUCUGAAAUGAAUCCAAGAACUUUGAGUUGUCAUUUCACUUAAUUGACUGUCUUUUCCGAUUUUAAUAAUGGUGAUAUUGCAGACAUACCAUAUUGCAAGUACUUAGCUGAGUAGCUGAGCUCUUCCUUUCUGUGGAUUGGUUCCUUUCAAUUGGUUCAUUUGAGGUAUUGCUUGCUGUCACUGCAAUCUUGUUUGAAAUUUACAUCUUAAUAAUAUUUUAUGUUUAAUCCGUCACCAUUGUUCCUUAUCCACUAUUGGAAUGCCAAGAGAUGUUGAACCUAUUCCAGGUUAACCCUUCGACAUUGUGCUACAAUUUGAAGAAGAUGAUGGUUACAGAAGAACUUACUUUCAAUCAAUAUCAUUAAGUUGUGUAGAUGUUUUCUGUGACAUUGUUUACCUAACUAACCAGUCCAAUGCCAGUCAGUGGUUACUCACCCACUGUAAAACUAGGAGGAUAAGAAAAGCUGUGGUAGUAAGGGUUACCUUGUGAAGCACAUGACCUAAUGAAAACUUUUGGUAGGUUAUGAAUUUAACCAAGAAUCCUAUUAUGAUUUAUCAUUUUAUGUUUAAGAUAUUGUUUUACACCUUGUUGUGCUUCAAUUCAGUCCAAUCAUGAAAAUUACAAAUUUGAAUUCUAAUUAUUCUAAUAUAUCUUUACAUUUACCA